rnacentral:lncRNA from 1 species
GACAUUAGAGAGCAGACGGACCGCUCUGAGUCCAUGUAGACCUGACCUCCAUCAUGUCCAUCAACGUGACUCUGAAGAGGAUCCUCAACCUGCCGGGGCGGCACGACAGGAAGGUCCAGCUCAGCUUCAGAGGUUUCACCUACAAAACCAGGAUCCUGCAGUGUGAGAAUGUGGCCAUCUUCAACGAGGUCGGUGACGUUCUCCUCCCAUCGUUUUGCUGUGUGUGCAUGUGUCUGUGUUCCUGAAAUGCUUUCAUGGAUCUGAUAAGACCGUUUCCCUCCUUCAGAGCACACACACACACACCCACACACUCGUUUCCAGAGUUGAAGGUUCUUGUUUACCGUCCCAGGUUUGUUCUAAGGUGUUGAACAGGUUAAACCACAAGUGUCAAAGUCAAGGCCCGGGGGCCGGAUCCGGCCCUCCGGACCAUUUUAUUUUAUUGUUAUUAAUUGCUCUCAUUUCUAAUUUGUAUAAUUUUGACAAAAUAUUUUUUUGUGGAGAGUCAAAUAUAGACAAUUAUUUAAGGUUUAAGUUGAUUUAUUCUGGAAUAAUAUUCCUGCCUUUUUAUUAUUCAUAAUUAUGAUAAAAAGUUAUGGUUUUAAAGUAAAAAAAAAA